GUCCAUGUAGCGCAAUGGAUAGUGCGUUGGACUUCUAAUCCAAAGGUUGUGGGUUCAAAUCCUACCUGGGAUG
rnacentral:tRNA from 1 species